rnacentral:rRNA from 1 species
UACGUAGGGGGCAAGCGUUGUCCGGAAUUAUUGGGCGUAAAGAGCUUGUAGGCGGUUUGUCGCGUCUGCUGUGAAAUUUCGGGGCUCAACCCCGAACUUGCAGUGGGUACGGGCAGACUAGAGUGUGGUAGGGGAGACUGGAAUUCCUGGUGUAGCGGUGAAAUGCGCAGAUAUCAGGAGGAACACCGGUGGCGAAGGCGGGUCUCUGGGCCGUAACUGACGCUGAGGAGCGAAAGCAUGGGGAGCGAACAGG